rnacentral:misc_RNA from 1 species
CAACCCUCAGGCCUUAGUCGCCUGGUGUUGGGGCUUCUACAGCGAUGUAGGCCCCGAAAAUUAGUGGCGGUGCUCUCCAGCACUCCGGGCGCAGUAGUUUAUUCUCGCCUAGGACGUCUGGUAGGCUGCCGGCCGUUAAACCCCCUAUUUCUCAA